CAGUGCUGCCAAGGCUAUUUUCUCUCCAGCUGUGAGAGUGGCUUUUUAAAAUGACUCACAAAAGCUGCUAGCCAGCUGCUUCACCUCAGCCUUCACAAGGGCUCUGCAUUCUAAACAGCGGUAGGGCUGACUUACUUCAGAAGGGCUCGUUUAUUUGGACGUUGCAGAUGUAUUCUGCACACAACCGACGAUCCUAAAGAGACCUCCGUUCAGGCAGGAAAUGGCAUCUGAUGUGAUACAACUGUUUCCAUGCCCGCUCAGUGCAGUUCAUCUUGUUUGCUGGAUUAGGCUCAGGAGGGAGGCAAGAAAAUCUGCUGAAACAUCCUCCCAGGAGCCAAAUGAAGGGGUGAAGAAAUAAACAGCAACUAACAGCUUUGAUCAUUCACAGCCAGAGAUCCAUUCAGUCUAGAAUGUAUCCUCACAUGAGAUCCUGAAAAGGAAUUCCAUACGCUGAGGGGCUAACAGCCCUGCAUGUAAUGAUCUCCAAAAGUCUGAGCCCUUGCAAUGCAUGCAGCCCAGGGCUGUGGAGUCUCUUGAGUUUUGGGAAGAUCACUGACUGAUUUAAGACUGUGCGGGACCUGCUCCGCCUUCUACUGACAGUCCUAAGGCUGUCACAAGUCUCCACCUUACCCACCUGCAGCUGAGCCAGCUCCUCCUCUGCGCUGUCAAUGGGACAUCUGGCUACAAAAGAGACAGCUCACUGAAGAUGAGAGCACAUUGCUGAGAUUCUUUUGCAUGGCCUGCACUUCGUGGUUCACCACCUGGCCACACUGUGACGGGCUGUACGCCCAUAUUCACCCCGUGCUUACUGUUAUAAUAAUCUUUGUACAAAGUAUGCCUUGUGAGGUAUCAUUUGAAAAUGCAUAAUUCACAGGUCCUGAUACUAUAUGUGUGGCGACAUUGUGUGUAAAGUUAUAAGAUUCCAUUGUGUGGUGUUUCUAAGACAUAUAUUAAGCUUGGGGAGCAGCCAAACCAGUUCCUCACUGAAGGAGGUCAAGGUCAAAUGGGCCAUCACCUGCUAAGUGGCUAUUCACUGGCAGCAAAGGGAACAUGGGUGAAAAAUCUACAUCUUAGAAAAGAAACAGCAUUACGUUCCCAUCCACACAUUCUGAUUGUCACCAAGUUCCCAGUAGGAGAUGCUUCUCAAAAGAGGGAGAAGACUAUAAAAUAGACGGCCAGACGCACCCAAAGGAUUCCUUCCUUUUUUCUGGCCACGGCAUUCACAAUAGCUGAAGAACAAAGGAAGCAGCACUGGACGGGGGGAGGGAUCCUGACUGAAAGAAAUUCAGCCAGUAAAACUACUGAAACAUGUGGUCAGAGAGACUUUGCUUUGAAUUUGCCCUAAUUUGUUAAGUUAGACAUUACUUGUGUUUUACCUUUAUUUUUCUGGUAACCAAUUCUGACUUUUAUGCCUCAUUACUUGUGUUCACUUAAAAUCUCUCUCUUUGUAGUUAAUAAACUUGUUUUACUUUUUUAUCUAA